rnacentral:rRNA from 1 species
GACGAACGCUGGCGGCGUGCCUAAUACAUGCAAGUAGGACGCAGUUGCGAACGGGUGAGUAACGCGUAGGUAACUGCCUAUUAGAGGGGGAUAACUAUUGGAAACGAUAGCUAAUACCGCAUACUAGUAGAUGGACCUGAUUUGUAUUAGCUAGUAGGUAGGGUAAUGGCCUACCUAGGCAACGAUAUAUAGCCGACCUGAGGGGUUGAGCGGCCACACUGGGAUUGAGACACGGCCCAGACUCCUACGGGAGGCAGCAGUAGGGAAUCUUCGGCAAUUGGGGGAACCCUGACCGAGCAACGCCGCGUGAGUGAAGAAGGUUUUCGGAUCGUAAAGCUCUGUUGUUAAGGAAGCGGUACUUAACCAGAAAGGGACGGCUAACUACGUGCCAGCCGCCGCGGUAAUUC